rnacentral:rRNA from 1 species
UGGGGAAUCUUGGACAAUGGGCGCAAGCCUGAUCCAGCCAUGCCGCGUGAGUGAAGAAGGCCUUAGGGUUGUAAAGCUCUUUUAGCAGGGAAGAUAAUGACGGUACCUGCAGAAAAAGCCCCGGCUAACUCCGUGCCAGCAGCCGCGGUAAUACGGAGGGGGCUAGCGUUGUUCGGAAUUACUGGGCGUAAAGAGCGCGUAGGUGGUUUAUCAAGUCAGGUGUGAAAGCCCGAGGCUUAACCUCGGAAUAGCACUUGAAACUAGUAAGCUAGAAGUCAGUAGGGGGUAGUGGAAUUCCCAGUGUAGAGGUGAAAUUCGUAGAUAUUGGGAGGAACACCGGAGGCGAAGGCGGCUACCUGGACUGAACUUGACACUGAGGCGCGAAAGCGUGGGGAGCAAACAGG